GAAUAGCCAAUCAGGAAAGAGAUGAUGCAAUAACAGCCAUGUGGUCCCACAAAUGUCCCAUAAAAAGUCGGCAAUUGACGGCAAAAAAACCUUUUGGCUGUUCUUAAUAAUCGUGGAAGCGUUUCAAAGCCAGAAACUUGUUAUUUAGGCUAAAAAUCGAGAAAAUGGGAGACAGCCGUGCAGCUAUUUUUUUUUCCUCCUUUACCGGAAGCCGUGAUUUUCAUUAGUCGAGAGAGAAACGCGAUGCGCCAACUUUCUAUGCUCGAACAGAUCCACUUUUACGGAAAGGCAGACUGGACUAGGCCAACCCAAAGAGGGACGUGGUUAAGAUACAUACCUGUAAGUGAAAAAGUGAACAUAAGUGAAAAAAAUCAAAACAUUUAAAUGUGUAUUAUGCAGAAAAAACUAAUAAUAGGGGACUAACAAUAGGGGAUGAAAUAAGACGCUAGGAGAUUACAUGACCUUUUGGAUGGAAAAUUCAAAACACAAAACACCUGUCAUGACUGAAAAAUGUUACACUCAAAAAAAGGCAGAGAAUACCUUGAAGUACUUAGUAACAAAUAGCAAACAAAAUCUAAAAUGCUACUUUUUGUAAGGAGUCAUUGAGAUUUGCAGCUUUCAUACCAGCAUUUAUUUGUAGACUUAUCAAGGGGAAAAAAACUGAAAAAGCCGAGAUUUUUGGGGUAUGCAUUUUGGCCUUGUGGUAUUGGUGUAAAAA